rnacentral:rRNA from 1 species
AGUGAACGCUGGCGGCAUGCCUUACACAUGCAAGUCGAACGGCAGCGGACCUUCGGGUGCCGGCGAGUGGCGAACGGGUGAGUAAUGCUUCGGAACGUACCUUUCAGUGGGGGAUAACGUAGCGAAAGUUACGCUAAUACCGCAUAUUCUGUGAGCAGGAAAGCAGGGGAUCGCAAGACCUUGCGCUGAUUGAGCGGCCGAUGUCAGAUUAGCUAGUUGGUGAGGUAAAGGCUCACCAAGGCGACGAUCUGUAGCGGGUCUGAGAGGAUGAUCCGCCCCACUGGGACUGAGACACGGCCCAGACUCCUACGGGAGGCAGCAGUGGGGAAUUUUGGACAAUGGGGGCAACCCUGAUCCAGCCAUGCCGCGUGAGUGAAGAAGGCCUUCGGGUUGUAAAGCUCUUUCGGCCGGGAAGAAAUCGCACAGGCUAAUACCUUGUGUGGGUGACGGUACCGGAAUAAGAAGCACCGGCUAACUACGUGCCAGCCGCCGCAGUAACAC